rnacentral:rRNA from 1 species
UGGGGAAUAUUGCACAAUGGGGGAAACCCUGAUGCAGCCAUGCCGCGUGUGUGAAGAAGGCCUUCGGGUUGUAAAGCACUUUCAGCGAGGAGGAAAGGUGGUUGGCUAAUACCCAAUCGCUGUGACGUUACUCGCAGAAGAAGCACCGGCUAACUCCGUGCCAGCAGCCGCGGUAAUACGGAGGGUGCAAGCGUUAAUCGGAAUUACUGGGCGUAAAGCGCACGCAGGCGGUUGGAUAAGUUAGAUGUGAAAGCCCCGGGCUCAACCUGGGAAUUGCAUUUAAAACUGUCCAGCUAGAGUCUUGUAGAGGGGGGUAGAAUUCCAGGUGUAGCGGUGAAAUGCGUAGAGAUCUGGAGGAAUACCGGUGGCGAAGGCGGCCCCCUGGACAAAGACUGACGCUCAUGCACGAAAGCGUGGGGAGCAAACA